AUGGCGGGGGUCCUGGAUGCUUUGGCAUCCUACAUGACCAGCAUGCUCUCCGAGAUGGCCAAAGAGGAGGUCGCCAUGCUAAUCGGCGUGUCCGACGGGAUCAAAGACCUGAGCAUCAAGCUUGGGGACCUCAAGAAUUUCCUUGCUGAUGCUGAUAGGAGGAACAUCACCGAUGAGAGUGUGCGUGGGUGGGUGGGGGAACUGAAGCGUGCCAUGUACCUGGCCACUGACAUCGUCGACCUAUGUCAGCUCAAGGCCAUGGAGCAAGGUCAAACCAAGGACAGGGGGUGCCUUAACCCUCUGCUCGUUUGCAUGCGGAAUCCCCUGCACGCCCAUGACAUCGGCACCCGCAUCAAGAUGCUCAACCAAAAUUUGGAUGAUAUUUGCAAGAGGGGCAGCAGUUUCAAUUUCAUCAAGCUAGAAGCCUACCAAGACCGAAAGAUGACUGGAUAUCAUGCAACUGGUCGCAAAACUGAUUCACUGAUGGAGCGGUCAGGUGCAGUUGGUGAUAAGAUUGAGGAGGACACGAGGGCACUUGUGGAGGUGCUUACAAGGGAAGCUGCUAGUGACAAGAGAGAUCGCUUCAUGGUGGUGGCCAUUGUUGGUGCCGGUGGGAUUGGGAAGACCACCCUCAGCAAGAAGGUCUUCAAUGAUGACAGUAUCAAAGGAAAGUUCACUAAGAAUAUAUGGCUUAGCAUCACCCAAGAUUUCAAUGAUAUUGAGCUAUUGAAUAAGGCUAUCAUCGCUGUUGGUGGAGACCUACCUGGAGGUGGAGGAGCCCGAGACAGAGACCUACUUGUCGGUGCUCUCAAUAACGCCAUCAGGGACAAGAAGUUCUUUCUUGUACUAGAUGACAUGUGGGGUGUCGAUGCAUGGGACAAAUUACUGAUGGCUCCCUUUAGCUACGGCGGCCCCGGCAGCAGAGUCCUUAUCACCACAAGACAUGACACGGUUGCCCUAUGCAUGAAAGUUGUGCACUAUCACCAUGUUGACAAAUUAGGUGCUAAAGAUGCAUGGUCAUUGCUCAAGAAGCAGGUAGUCACAACAGAAAAAGAUGAACCCGAGAUUGAGAUUCUAAAGGAUAUUGGCUUGCAGAUUAUAGAAAAGUGUGAUGGUCUGCCACUUGCUGUAAAGGUGGUGGGAGGGCUAUUAUGCCAGAGGGAGAAAAAUCAACGUGCUUGGCAAAAGGUUCUAAAUGAUGAUUUAUGGUCAGUAUCUCAAAUGUCAGAAGAGCUAAAUUAUGCAAUAUGUCUUAGCUAUGAGGACUUACCCUCUUGUUUGAGGCAAUGCUUUCUGCACUUCUCCCACAUACCUAUAGUUUUACCAUCAGAUGUGAUUGUCGGGAUGUGGAUCAGUGAAGGGUUUGUACACGGAAACCCAGAUGGAUUAGAAGAAUUGGGACAUCAGUACUAUAGGCAGCUAACACUAAGGAACCUUAUAGAGCCAGUUCCAUAUGGUAUUGGUCAAUAUCUCUGCAACAUGCAUGAUGUUGUUCGCUCAUUUGCUCAAUUUGUAGCUAGAGAUGAUGCAUUGAUACUUCAUAAAGGAGAAAAUAUUAACAUCAAACCUAGUUUGCAAGGGUUUCUUAGGUUGUCUAUAGAAACCAAAGGAAUAGAAUCAGAUGAACCUGAGUGGAGAAGUUUACAAAAGCAUAAAUCACUUAGAUCAUUAAUGUUAAUUGGAAAUUUCAAGAUUCAGUCGGGUGAUUCAUUGGAAACAUUUUCAAGCCUACGGAUGCUACAUAUAGAAUCAACCAAAUUUGAUGUCUUGGUUGAAUCUCUGUAUCAGCUCAAACACUUGAGGUAUCUAGCAUUAAUAAAGUGCAAUGACUUAGAUAGGCUGCCCGAGAACAUCCAUAAGAUGAAAUUCCUACAACACAUUAGUCUUGAAGAUUGUGAGAGUGUUGUGAAACUUCCUAAUAGCAUUGUGAGGUUACAUGAACUGAGACAUCUUGAUCUUGAUGGCACACGUGUAAAUAGUAUACCCAGGGGGUUCGGUGCUCUAUAUGGGUUCACAGCCCAUGUGGAUGGUGAUUGGUGUAGUCUGGAAGAACUUGGGCCUCUUUUCAAUCUUAGGAGCAUUGGGUUAGUGAAUCUACAGAAUGUUUCAGAUGCCUCAUUCGCCACAAAGGUCAAGCUUGGUGAAAAGGUCAGUCUUAGCCAGCUGAUCCUCAACUGCACGGGAAGACUAGGCAUCAAUGAAUUUACCAAAGAUUCAGUCUCGGAGAAGGAUCAAGGAAUGGUUGAGGAGGUGUUUGAUGGGCUCUAUCCUCCACCUUGCAUAGAAGAUAUUCGUAUCUACAACUAUUUUGGGCGUCAACUCCCAAAAUGGAUGAUGUCAGCAACAGUGAUGCGUAUGCCCCUCAAUAGCUUAAAGAUUUUAGUGAUGUGGGACAUGGCAUAUUGCACCCAACUCCCAGAUGGCUUGUGUGCGCUCCCAUGUUUAGAGUACCUAGACGUCGGACAAGCUCCAAUAAUCAAGCGUGUUAGGUCUGAAUUCGUGCAGCCAUAUAGUCACUGCCAUCAUGCUUCAUCCCAGGUUGCUGUCUCGUUUGCAAGACUGCACAAGAUGAUAUUAUGGGAAAUGGCGGAAUUGGAGGAGUGGGAGUGGGAGAAGGAAGUGCAGUCUAUGCAGGCCUUGGAGGAACUUAAAAUCAGAAGUUGCAAAUUGAGGUCCAUCCCUCCUGGCCUUGCCUCCCAUGCAAAGUCUUUGAAAAAGUUAACCAUAUGCAAUGUCCAGCAGCUCCAGUAUAUAGAAAACUCUGCUUCUGUAGUCGAGCUCAGCCUUGCUGGACUACCCGACCUGACUAGGAUCUCCAAUUUUCCCAAGCUGCGAAAACUUGAGAUCUAUUGCUGCCCGAAGCUCGAGUUGCUGCAGGAGAUGGUUGCACUCCAGAAGCUAGCAGUUCAGUACAGCGAGAAGCAGCUCCCAUCGUACCUGCAAACUGUAAAGCCAAGCCAUUUGCUGCUGGAUUGCUGCUCGGUGAUACUCCUUUCCAUGGCUUUGGGAGAGUCUUGUUCCGAGUGGGACAAGUUCAGCCAUAUCCAGCAAGUUGAGGCUUAUGCAGAUGAUGGAGGCAUUGAAAAGAGAUGGCACCUAUUCUACACAAGGGAGCCCUACAACAUGGAGACCAACAUUGAUCUGCGGGAGUGGUCAGACGAUGUUAACUUUAUCCAAUCAGAGGGUGAAGAUGGACUGCCUCGGUUAGCUGCCCUGAUGAAAUCUGUGGAUGAAGAUGAGGAGGAUGCAGACAACACAGAAGAAAUAGAGGAGGAAAGCAUGGGCCAAGGAAGGGAGGAGUAG
rnacentral:rRNA from 1 species